rnacentral:misc_RNA from 1 species
GAAAUGCGAUGCCUAGUGUGAAUUGCAGAAUUCAGUGAAUCAUCGAAUGUUUGAACGCACAUUGCGCCCUAUGGUAUUCCAAAGGGCAUGCCUGUUCGAGCGUCAGAUGUACCCUCAAGCUUUGCUUGGUGUUGGGCGUCUUGUCUCCAGUUCGCUGGAGACUCGCCUUAAAGUCAUUGGCAGCCGGCCUACUGGCUUCGGAGCGCAGCACAAGUCACGCGCUUUUCCAGCCAAGGUCAGCGUCCAGUAAGCCUUUUUUCCAACUUUUGACCUCGGAUCAGGUAGGGAUACCCGCUGAACUUAA